GACGAACGCUGGCGGCGUGCUUAACACAUGCAAGUCGAACGGAAAGGCCCUUCGGGGUACUCGAGUGGCGAACGGGUGAGUAACACGUGGGUGAUCUGCCCUGCACUUUGGGAUAAGCCUGGGAAACUGGGUCUAAUACCGAAUAGGACCACGCGCUUCAUGGUGUGUGGUGGAAAGCUUUUGCGGUGUGGGAUGGGCCCGCGGCCUAUCAGCUUGUUGGUGGGGUAAUGGCCUACCAAGGCGACGACGGGUAGCCGGCCUGAGAGGGUGACCGGCCACACUGGGACUGAGAUACGGCCCAGACUCCUACGGGAGGAAGCAGUGGGGAAUAUUGCACAAUGGGCGCAAGCCUGAUGCAGCGACGCCGCGUGAGGGAUGACGGCCUUCGGGUUGUAAACCUCUUUCAAUAGGGACGAAGCGCAAGUGACGGUACCUAUAGAAGAAGCACCGGCCAACUACGUG
rnacentral:rRNA from 1 species